rnacentral:rRNA from 1 species
UACGUAGGGUGCAAGCGUUAAUCGGAAUUACUGGGCGUAAAGCGUGCGCAGGCGGUGAUGUAAGACAGUUGUGAAAUCCCCGGGCUCAACCUGGGAACUGCAUCUGUGACUGCAUUGCUGGAGUGCGGCAGAGGGGGAUGGAAUUCCACGUGUAGCAGUGAAAUGCGUAGAUAUGCGGAGGAACACCGAUGGCGAAGGCAAUCCCCUGGGCCUGCACUGACGCUCAUGCACGAAAGCGUGGGGAGCAAACAGG